rnacentral:lncRNA from 12 species
AGAUAAAGCACUAUGCAUGCUUCUCAUACAGGAAUUUGUACUUGUUCAGAUAAAUCUGUGUCAUGCUCCACACUCAGACAGAAGGAACCACAGAAAGAAGCAGCAGAAAAUGGUGAUCUUGUAUGGGAAGGCCCCUUCUGUGCCUUUUCCCUUUUACAUCCCUUGUACUGGAGCUUCCUGCAAAACAGACCUGUCCUGGAGUCUCUGCAUCAGCAUGGAUCCCUUGCUCCUGUGAAAUUGAAGAGUUCCCUUUACCUUGAGGGAUGGACUGGAGCUGGGUUGUGGGGCUGGCUGCCGUGUUCUCACCCACAUCUUCCCCUUCGCCCUGCUCUGCUCUCCUGA